rnacentral:SRP_RNA from 1 species
GCUGGGCAUGGUGGCUUGUGCCUGCAUCCCAGCUCUGUGGGCGGCUGAGGCUGUAGGAUUGCUUAAGCUCAGGAGUUCUGGGCUGCAGUUGGCCAUGCUGAUCAGGUGUCCACACUACGGUCAGCAUCAAUAUGGUGACUUGUGGGAAGCUGUAGGUUACCAGGUUGUCUAAGAAGGGGUGAACCGGCCCAGGUCAAGAAUGGAGCAGGCCAAAGCUCCUAUGCUGAGGAGUAGUGGGAUUGCACCUGUGGUUAGUCCCUGCAGCACAGCCUGGGCAAGAGAGUAAAACACUGUCUCU